rnacentral:rRNA from 1 species
AAAACUUUCAACAACGGAUCUCUUGGUUCCAGCAUCGAUGAAGAACGCAGCGAAAUGCGAUAACUAAUGUGAAUUGCAGAAUUCAGUGAAUCAUCGAGUCUUUGAACGCACAUUGCGCCCCUCGGUAUUCCGGGGGGCAUGCCUGUUCGAGCGUUAUUAU